rnacentral:lncRNA from 1 species
UUAAUUUAAUUACAUUUUUUUUAAAUAUAGCUUUUAUAUUUUUUGGCAUCGGAUCUGAUAAUUCAUAUUUACCAAUUAUAUAUUAUGUUAAUGAGACAUAUCCAGUCAAUGUUGUUACUUCCACAAGAGACUCUGGAAAUAUUGAUACACAUAAUAAUAAAAAUGACAACAAUAUAAUUAGUAAACAUAUUGUUGAAAGAGAAAGCAAACUAACAACUUUAAAAAAAUUAUUAAAAAAUAAAAAUUAUAUAUUAAUUAGUACUAUGUCUUCUUUAGCUGUAUUAAGUUUAUUUAUUGGUAAUAUUAUAAAUUUAACAGUAGAUUUUUUUCAACAUAAAAAUAUUAUUAUCAUUAUAUUUGUUUAUUGUAUGAUAUGUAUAGUGCCAGGUUUUGUUAUAGCUAAUUUUUUAGACACACAUGAUAAAAAAAUUAAAAGUAAUAAUAAAAUAAAAAAAGAAAAUAAUAAAAUAAAUAAUGAAAAUAAUAAGAUAGAAAACGAAAAUGAUAAAAAUGCUAUUAUCGAUAUGGACGACAACAACAACAGCAUUAAUGACAAAAACGAAUGCAAUAACAUAUUAUACAAAAAUAAUAAUUCGUUAAAUAAUAUUUUACCCACAAGGGACUCAACACAUAACGACAAAACUGAAAACAAAAAAAUCAAAAAUAUUUUUAAAAACGUAAACUUUACAAAACUGAAAGAACAAAUUAGUUCUCCAUUUUAUANNNNNNNNNNACAAAAAAUAAAUAAUAAAUUUAAUUUAAUUACAUUUUUUUUAAAUAUAGCUUUUAUAUUUUUUGGCAUCGGAUCUGAUAAUUCAUAUUUACCAAUUAUAUAUUAUGUUAAUGAGACAUAUCCAGUCAAUGUUGUUACUUCCACAAGAGACUCUGGAAAUAUUGAUACACAUAAUAAUAAAAAUGACAACAAUAUAAUUAGUAAACAUAUUGUUGAAAGAGAAAGCAAACUAACAACUUUAAAAAAAUUAUUAAAAAAUAAAAAUUAUAUAUUAAUUAGUACUAUGUCUUCUUUAGCUGUAUUAAGUUUAUUUAUUGGUAAUAUUAUAAAUUUAACAGUAGAUUUUUUUCAACAUAAAAAUAUUAUUAUCAUUAUAUUUGUUUAUUGUAUGAUAUGUAUAGUGCCAGGUUUUGUUAUAGCUAAUUUUUUAGACACACAUGAUAAAAAAAUUAAAAGUAAUAAUAAAAUAAAAAAAGAAAAUAAUAAAAUAAAUAAUGAAAAUAAUAAGAUAGAAAACGAAAAUGAUAAAAAUGCUAUUAUCGAUAUGGACGACAACAACAACAGCAUUAAUGACAAAAACGAAUGCAAUAACAUAUUAUACAAAAAUAAUAAUUCGUUAAAUAAUAUUUUACCCACAAGGGACUCAACACAUAACGACAAAACUGAAAACAAAAAAAUCAAAAAUAUUUUUAAAAACGUAAACUUUACAAAACUGAAAGAACA